GUGCCAGCAGCCGCGGUAAUACAGAGGGUGCGAGCGUUAAUCGGAAUUACUGGGCGUAAAGCGCGCGUAGGCGGUUUGUUAAGUCGGAUGUGAAAGCCCUGGGCUCAACCUGGGAACUGCAUUCGAAACUGGCAGGUUAGAGUAUGGUAGAGGGAAGUGGGAUUCCGGGUGUAGCGGUGAAAUGCGUAGAUAUCCGGAGGAACAUCAGUGGCGAAGGCGGCUUCCUGGACCAAUACUGACGCUGAGGUGCGAAAGCGUGGGGAGCAAACAGGAUUAGAAACCCCAGUAGUCC
rnacentral:rRNA from 1 species